UACGGAGGGUGCGAGCGUUAAUCGGAAUUACUGGGCGUAAAGGGUGCGCAGGCGGUCCCGCAAGUCAGGCGUGAAAUCCCCGGGCUUAACCUGGGAAUGGCACUUGAAACUACGGGACUGGAGUAUGGCAGAGGGAGGUGGAAUUCCACGUGUAGCGGUGAAAUGCGUAGAGAUGUGGAGGAACACCGAUGGCGAAGGCAGCCUCCUGGGCCAAUACUGACGCUCAUGCACGAAAGCGUGGGGAGCAAACAGG
rnacentral:rRNA from 1 species